rnacentral:rRNA from 1 species
GGGCCAUCGCUCAACGGAUAAAAGGUACUCCGGGGAUAACAGGCUGAUACCGCCCAAGAGUUCAUAUCGACGGCGGUGUUUGGCACCUCGAUGUCGGCUCAUCACAUCCUGGGGCUGAAGUAGGUCCCAAGGGUAUGGCUGUUCGCCAUUUAAAGUGGUACGCGAGCUGGGUUUAGAACGUCGUGAGACAGUUCGGUCCCUAUCUGCCGUGGGCGCUGGAGAAUUGAGGGGGGCUGCUCCUAGUACGAGAGGACCGGAGUGGACGCAUCACUGGUGUUCGGGUUGUCAUGCCAAUGGCAYUGCCCGGUAGCUAAAUGCGGAAGAGAUAAGUGCUGAAAGCAUCUAAGCACGAAACUUGCCCCGAGAUGAGUUCUCCCUGAGACYUURAGUCUCCUGAAGGAACGUUAAAGACGAUGACGUUGAUAGGUCGGGUGUGUAAGCGCAGCGAUGCGUUGAGCUAACCGAUACUAAUGAACCGUGAGGCUUAACCUU